AAUAAGUAUUAAUAAAAAAAUUUUUAAAUUUAUUAAGUAUUUUAAUGGGGGUUAAAGUAUUUUAAUAGAAAAAAUUUAAAUUUUUAUAGUUAAUUAGUAUUGUGAGAGAAAUUUGAAAUAAUUAUAAAAUAUAAAUUUAUUAAAAAGUAAUUUUUAUUUAGUGUAUCUUGUGUAUCAGAGUUUAUUAAAAAUUUAUUUUGGUUAAAAUUUUCUCGAAUUUAAAAGAGCGAAUUAAAUAUAAAAGUUAUUGUAGUAAAAAUAUUUUUAAUAUUUAAUUUGAAAUGAAAUGUUAUUCGUUUUUAAAUAUAUCUAGUUUUUUUAGAAAAAAAUUUAAUUUUAAAUUGAUUUUUAAACAUUUAUAUUUUAUUAAUAAAUUUUUAAGAUUAAUUUUAUAUUUUAAGGGAUAAGCUUUAAAUUAAAUUAAUAUAAUAUUUAAUUUAAUAUUGAAAAUUGUAUAAUUUAUAUUGUUAAAAAAUUUUAUUUUAUUAUAAAUAAUUUCAAUUAAUAUAAAAUUUAAUUAAAAUUUAUUAUUUUAUAAGAAAAAUAUAUUUAAUAAUAUAAUUUAAGUUAUAAUGAUAAAAUUAGUAUAAAUUUUUAUUAAUAUUAUUAAAUUUAAUUUAAGGUAUUUUAAAGGAAUUCGGCAAAAUUUUAUAUUCACUUGUUUAUCAAAAACAUGUCUUUUUGAAAAUAAUUUAAAGUCUAAUCUGCCCACUGAUUAAUAAUUAAAGGGCUGCAGUAUUUUGACUGUACAAAGGUAGCAUAAUCAUUAGUCAUUUAAUUGAUGACUUGUAUGAAAGAUUGGAUGAAAUAUGAACUGUCUUUAAAUUAAAUAUAGAAUUUAAUUUUUAAGUUAAAAAGCUUAAAUAAUUUAAAAAGACGAGAAGACCCUAUAGAGUUUUAUUAUUUAUUUAAAUUAAUAUUUUUAUAAUUAGUUGUAUUUAUGUUAAUUUUUAAUAAAUAAUUUUAUUGGGGUGAUAAAAAAAUUUAAUUAACUUUUUUUAAUUUAAAAACAUAAAUAAGUGAAUAUUUGAUCCAUAUUUUAUGAUUAUAAGAAAAAAUUACCUUAGGGAUAACAGCGUAAUUUUAUUUUUUAGUUCAAAUAAGAAAUAGAGUUUGCGACCUCGAUGUUGGAUUAAGAUAAAAUUUAAAUGCAGAAGUUUAAAAGUUUUGAUCUGUUCGAUCAUUAAAAUCUUACAUGAUCUGAGUUCAAACCGGUGUAAGCCAGGUUGGUUUCUAUCUUUUAAAAAUAAAAAUAUUUUAGUACGAAAGGAUUAAAUAUUUGAAUUAUAUUUUUUAAUUUGAAUUUUAUUAAAUAUAUAUAUAUAUAUAUAUAUAAAAAUUAUUAUGGAUUU
rnacentral:rRNA from 1 species